AGCUAUGGUCUAAGUAUCCUAAAGGUACCAGAUCCCAUAUGAUCUUGGAAGCUAAAUAGCACCAGUUCUGGUUAGCAUUUGGAUGGGAGACCACCAAUAAAUGCCAUAGGCUAUAUUUC
rnacentral:rRNA from 1 species